rnacentral:rRNA from 1 species
AACGAACGCUGGCGGCAGGCCUAACACAUGCAAGUCGAACGCCGUAGCAAUACGGAGUGGCAGACGGGUGAGUAACACGUGGGAACAUACCCUUCGGUUCGGAAUAACUCAGGGAAACUUGAGCUAAUACCGGAUACGUCCGCGAGGAGAAAGAUUCAUCGCCGGAGGAUUGGCCCGCGUCUGAUUAGCUUGUUGGUGAGGUAACGGCUCACCAAGGCGACGAUCAGUAGCUGGUCUGAGAGGAUGAUCAGCCACAUUGGGACUGAGACACGGCCCAAACUCCUACGGGAGGCAGCAGUGGGGAAUCUUGCGCAAUGGGCGAAAGCCUGACGCAGCCAUGCCGCGUGAAUGAUGAAGGUCUUAGGAUUGUAAAAUUCUUUCACCGGGGAAGAUAAUGACUGUACCCGGAGAAGAAGCUCCGGCUAACUUCGUGCCAGCCG